GAUGAACGCUGGCGGCGUGCUUAACACAUGCAAGUCGAACGGAAAGGCCCAAGCUUGCUUGGGUACUCGAGUGGCGAACGGGUGAGUAACACGUGGGUGAUCUGCCCUGCACUUCGGGAUAAGCCUGGGAAACUGGGUCUAAUACCGGAUAGGACCACAUUUUGGAUGGUGUGGUGGAAAGUUUUUCGGUGUGGGAUGAGCUCGCGGCCUAUCAUCUUGUUGGUGGGGUAAUGGCCUACCAAGGCGUCGACGGGUAGCCGGCCUGAGAGGGUGUACGGCCACAUGUGGGCUGAGAUACGGCCCAGAGUCCGCGGGGGGGCAGAAGGGGGGAAUAUUGCACAAUGGGGGCAAGCCUGAUGCAGCGAGGCCGCGUGGGGGAUGACGGCGUUCGCGUUGUAGACUCCUUUCGCUAAGGACGAAGCGUUUUUGUGACGGUACCUGGAGAAGAAGCACCGGCUAACUACGUG
rnacentral:rRNA from 1 species